UACGUAGGGGGCAAGCGUUGUCCGGAAUUAUUGGGCGUAAAGAGCUCGUAGGUGGCUUGUUGCGUCUGCCGUGAAAGCCCGUGGCUUAACUACGGGUCUGCGGUGGAUACGGGCAGGCUAGAGGCUGGUAGGGGCAAGCGGAAUUCCUGGUGUAGCGGUGAAAUGCGCAGAUAUCAGGAGGAACACCGGUGGCGAAGGCGGCUUGCUGGGCCAGUUCUGACGCUGAGGAGCGAAAGCGUGGGGAGCGAACAGG
rnacentral:rRNA from 1 species